rnacentral:lncRNA from 1 species
CAGUUAAACUGCUGAACAUUAUGCUAAGGUUGGACAUUGGAUCAAAUCUGAUCUAUGGUGUUCUGUUGGUCAUAAGGUUUCCAAUAAUCUUAGUAAUGAGAGGGAGAGAGAAUGAUAGCCGUCGUGAAUGCAGAAGGUCAGUGGGACAGCACCGCUCACUAUCACAUGAACUUGAAGACUUGGAAAUCCGUCCAAGAGUGUCCUAUGUGAACAGUGUUCCCUUGUUGAGCUACCUCAUUGUAUCCCUUCCUAAGUGUAAGAACAAAGCUGUACAUUCUGGAUGAUGAGGCUACCCUACUUCACCUGGUACUCUGGCUGCUUGAGGAUUUCAUUGCCUUUUAGAAGUUGGACUAGUCACUGGAUAUUGUCUUUUAUCAUUUCAAAUGUGAUAUUUUUAAAUGAAAAAACCUGCUCUGUUGUCCAUAUUUAUGAACCGUUG